rnacentral:rRNA from 1 species
UUGACGCUGGCGGCAGGCCUACACAUGCAAGUCGAGCGGUAACAGAAAGAAAGCUUGCUUUCUUUGCUGACGAGCGGCGGACGGGUGAGUAAUGCCUGGGAAUAUGCCUUGAUGUGGGGGAUAACCAUUGGAAACGAUGGCUAAUACCGCAUAAUGCCUACGGGCCAAAGAGGGGGAUCUUCGGACCUCUCGCGUCAAGAUUAGCCCAGGUGGGAUUAGCUAGUUGGUGAGGUAAUGGCUCACCAAGGCGACGAUCCCUAGCUGGUCUGAGAGGAUGAUCAGCCACACUGGAACUGAGACACGGUCCAGACUCCUACGGGAGGCAGCAGUGGGGAAUAUUGCACAAUGGGCGCAAGCCUGAUGCAGCCAUGCCGCGUGUGUGAAGAAGGCCUUCGGGUUGUAAAGCACUUUCAGUCGUGAGGAAGGUAGUUGCGUUAAUAGCGUAAUUUUUGACGUUAGCGACAGAAGAACCCGGCUACUCCGUGCCAGCAGCCCGCGGUAAUACGGAGGGUGCGAGCNGUAAUCGGAAUUCUGGCGUAAAGCC